rnacentral:rRNA from 1 species
GAUGAACGCUGGCGGCGUGCCUAAUACAUGCAAGUCGAGCGAACGGACGAGAAGCUUGCUUCUCUGAUGUUAGCGGCGGACGGGUGAGUAACACGUGGAUAACCUACCUAUAAUACUGGGAUCACUUCGGGAAUCCGGAGCUAAUACCGGAUAAUAUUUUGAACCGCAUGGUUCAAUAGUGAAAGACGGUCUUGCUGUCACUUAUAGAUGGAUCCGCGCUGCAUUAGCUAGUUGGUAAUGUAACGGCUUACCAAGGCAACGAUGCAUAGCCGACCUGAGAGGGGGAUCGGCCACACUGGAACUGAGACACGGUCCAGAGUCCUAAGGGAGGCAGCAGUAGGGAAUCUUCCGCAAUGGGCGAAAGCCUGACGGAGCAACGCCGCGUGAGUGAUGAAGGUCUUCGGAUCGUAAAACUCUGUUAUUAGGGAAGAACAUAUGUGUAAGUAACUGUGCACAUCGUGACGGUACCUAAUCAGAAAGCAACGGCUAACUACGUG